rnacentral:tRNA from 1 species
UAUUCAAAUAGCUUAUGUUAGAGUAUAAUAUUGAAGAUAUUAGGGUGAUAAAUUUAUCUUUGAAU